rnacentral:hammerhead_ribozyme from 1 species
AUCCAUCUGAUGAGUCCUAAAAUAGGACGAAAUGUGCGUCCUGGAU